AUUAGAUACCCGUCUAUUCACGACAUAAAUUAACAGUUGAAUAUUACGAACAACAGUUUAAAAUUCAAAGAUUUUGGCGGUGUCUUAUAAAACCAGGGGAACCUGUCUCAUAACUCGAUAAUCCACGUAUACUCAACCUUCUUUAGAUCACAGCAUGUGUACUGCCGUUGUAGGCAUACCUUUAAAAGUAAGUAUGCUGCCAUGACUAAACUCCACGCACAUCAGGUCAAAGUGCAGCUAAUAAGAAGGAGAUGAUGGGUUACAACCCCAAAUAAGAUAAUCAACUAAGAAAUAAAAAAUCUUACGAAAGUGGACUUGGCUGUAAUUAAUUUACAAGUUAAAGAAAUGAAUAAAACUCUAAGACAUGCACACAUCGCCCGUCACUCUACCCUAAAGGGUAGAUAAGUCGUAAC
rnacentral:rRNA from 1 species